UACGUAGGGUGCGAGCGUUGUCCGGAAUUAUUGGGCGUAAAGAGCUCGUAGGCGGUCUGUCGCGUCGGUCGUGAAAACUUGGGGCUUAACCCUGAGCUUGCGGUCGAUACGGGCAUGACUGGAGUUCGGCAGGGGAGACUGGAAUUCCUGGUGUAGCGGUGAAAUGCGCAGAUAUCAGGAGGAACACCGGUGGCGAAGGCGGGUCUCUGGGCCGAUACUGACGCUGAGGAGCGAAAGCGUGGGUAGCAAACAGG
rnacentral:rRNA from 1 species